rnacentral:rRNA from 1 species
CUCUGGACAGAUCCUGACGCGUGAGGCACGAAGCUGUGGGGAGCGAACAGGAUUAGAUACCCUGGUAGUCCCAGCAGUAAACGAUGUGAGCUUGAUGUGGGGGGAUUCGACGCCUUCCGUGUCGAAGCUAGCGCGAUAAGCUCACCGCCUGAGGAGUACGUCCGCAAGGCUAAAACUCAAAGAAAUUGACGGGGACCCGCACAAGCGGUGGAGUAUGUGGCUUAAUUCGAUGCAACGCGAAGAACCUUACCUGGCCUUGACAUGCAUUGUGUCGUCGGUGAAAGCCGGCUAGUCCUGGAAACAGGACGCUUUGCACAGGUGCUGCAUGGCUGUCGUCAGCUCGUGUCGUGAGAUGUUGGGUUAAGUCCCGCAACGAGCGCAACCCUUGUGGUCAGUUACUAACCGGCUUAGCCGGAGGACUCUGGCCAGACUGCCCUGUCAAACGGGGAGGAAGGUGGGGACGACGUCAAGUCAGUAUGGCCCUUAUGGCCAGGGCUGCACACGUACUACAAUGCCCGGUACAAUGUGAACCGAAACCGCGAGGUGGAGGAAAUCGCUCUUGAAAACCGGGCCCAGUUCGGAUUGGAGUCUGCAACUCGACUCCAUGAAGUCGGAAUCGCUAGUAAUGGCGUAUCAGCAACGACGCCGUGAUACGUUCCCGGGUCUUGUACACACCGCCCGUCACAUCAUGGAGUCUCCUGUACCCGA